rnacentral:lncRNA from 1 species
CUGUUACAGCAAAGGAUAUGCCACCACCCUCCUGUGUCUGAAGCUUGCCCAGCCAGCAGGUCCAGCUCCAGUGCUGCGUCAUGUGAAAGCCUUCCCCACUAUCAUGGCCUGCCCUGGAUUCUCAUGGAAUAAAUCCUUAACAAACAACUAACAAACCAAAUUCAGCAACAUGUUAAAGGAUUGUACACCAUGACCAAGUAGGAUCUAUCCCAGGAAUGCAAGAAAUGGACAAGCUGAUUCUAAAAUUCAUAUGGAACUGCAAGGGACACAGAAAGAACCAAAGCAGUCUUGGACAAGAACAAUGUUAGAAGACUCACUUCUCCAUUUCAAAACUUACUACAAAACUAUAGUAAUCGACCAGGUGCGGUGGCUCACGCCUGUAAUCCCAGCAUUUUGGGAGGCCAAGGUG